UACGUAGGGGGCUAGCGUUGUCCGGAAUCAUUGGGCGUAAAGCGCGCGUAGGCGGCCAGAUAAGUCCGGUGUGAAAGUCACAGGCUCAACCUGUGAAUGCCGCUGGAAACUGUCUGGCUAGAGUCCGGAAGGGGCGAGUGGAAUUCCUGGUGUAGCGGUGAAAUGCGCAGAUAUCAGGAGGAACACCAAUGGCGAAGGCAGCUCGCUGGAACGGAACUGACGCUGAGACGCGAAAGCGUGGGGAGCGAACAGG
rnacentral:rRNA from 1 species